rnacentral:rRNA from 1 species
GACGUGGGGGGCCAGCGUUGCUCGGAAUUACUGGGUGUAAAGGGUUCGUAGGCGGUGUAGCAAGUUGGGAGUGAAAUCUCUGGGCUCAACCCAGAGGCUGCUUCCAAAACUGCUGUGCUCGAGUGCGAGAGAGGCGAGUGGAAUUGCAGGUGUAGCGGUGAAAUGCGUAGAUAUCCGUAGGAACAUCCGAGGCGAAGGCGGCUCGCUGGAUCACAGCUGACGCUGAGGGACGAAAGCUAGGGGAGCAAACAGG